UAGGCUGCAACUCGCCACAUGAAGCUGGAAUUGCUAGUAAUCACAGGUCAGCAUACUGUGGUGAAUACGUUCCCGGGCCUUGUACACACCGCCCGUCACACCAUGAGAGUUGAGAAUACCCGAAGUCCAUGUCAAAGUGGCCGAAGGUAGGCUUGAUGAUUGGGGUGAAGUCGUAACAAGGUAUC
rnacentral:rRNA from 1 species